CUGUGGCUUUAAAAAACCUCACACUGCUUUCUGGUGCUGCUCCAUCUCCCAUCAGGGAGCUCUCCCUCUGCCUGGGGGCCUCCUUCCCGCCUCCUCCCCACCCUAGCUGGUCCUCCCACCUCUGUGUCCCCUCCCCCACCCUCCCCUCCUUCCUUUCCUUCUCUCUUUCUCGUCCCACAGGACCUCUAGCCUCCUCCUUUCUUCUCACUGAGCUCCUCCUUUGUGGCUUCAGCCUGCCCUUCCUGUCUCCAGGCCUCCAGCUUUUCCUCAGCUCCACGGAAGCAUCUGUCUUACAUCUCCAUCAGCAGUGCUGAUUUCAUUAAUUGGAAGAAUUAGCUCUUUGUGGCCAAUGGAAGAAUAUGGAGCCAAAACACACGAAACGCUUUUCCCCGGUGACCCAGAGACCCCUGGACGAACUCCUGGGUGCCAUGAAAAUGGAUCAUUUUGCAGAAAGAAUAUCAUUGGAUGUUUAUUUAACAUCACUCUCCACCCCCACCCCCCAGCCCCAAAGACCUCCGAAUCACUCUCACAUCUGGCUGCUUUUUUCCCUUCACUUUUUUUGUACAAAGCCAGGGCAGGGAGGAAACUUCACCAGUCUGAAAACAUCCAGCAGCAAAGUAGACAGACAGCAGCCUAGAGCAGAUCUGCAAUGUGCUCGUGUCUCUUCUGAUUUUCUCAUGGCGGCCGUCACCUCCACUAUGGAAAGAAAAAUGAAUGACCCAUUUCAGUAG
rnacentral:lncRNA from 12 species